GCUAGAUAUAUUGACCCAAACAUAUAAACUAAACUAAAACAAAACAUUUGACCCACCAAGUAGAUGUGAUCGAACAGUCAAAUUAACAAUACUAGUACCGCAAGGGAAACUACUAAGCAAUAAACAGCAAAGAUUAACCCUUGUACC
rnacentral:rRNA from 1 species